rnacentral:rRNA from 1 species
GAGUUUGAUUCUGGCUCAGGACAAACGCUGGCGGCAUGCCUAAGACAUGCAAGUCGAACGAAGCAGCCCAUUGAAGUGGAGUACUUGUACAAAAUGAAUUUGGAUUCCUGCUUAGUGGCGAAUGGCUGAGUAACGCGUGGGUAAUCUACCUUUAAGACUGGGAUAACAGCUGGAAACGGUUGCUAAUACCGGAUAUGAAAUAAGAUGAUACGUUAUCUUAUUUUGAAAGGAGCCUCUAAAGCUCCACUUUUAGAUGAGCCUGCGUUGUAUUAGUUUGUUGGUGGGGUAAUGGCCUACCAAGACGAUGAUGCAUAUCCGACUCGAGAGGGUGAUCGGACAGACUGGGACUGAGACACGGCCCAGACUCCUACGGGAGACAGCAGUUAGGGAUCUUCGUCAAUGAGGGAAACCUUGAACGAGCAAUGCCGCGUGAACGAUGACGGUCAUUAUGAUUGUAAAGUUCUGUUGUUAGGGAUGAAUUGUAUAUAUAGGAAAUGAUAUAUACUGACAGU